GGUCAAGUUAUUAAGGGUGCAGGGCGGAUGCCUUGGCACUAGGAGCCGAUGAAGGACGUGAUAAGCUGCGAUAAGCUUCGGGGAGUUGCACGUAAACUUUGAUCCGAAGAUUUCCGAAUGAGGAAACUCACUUAGAGUAAUGUCUAAGUAUCAUUAAGUGAAUACAUAGCUUAAUGAGGGGAACUCAGGGAACUGAAACAUCUAAGUACCUGAAGGAAGAGAAAGAAAUUCGAUUCCGUAAGUAGCGGCGAGCGAACGCGGAUUAGCCCAAACCAAUAAAGUUUUCUUUAUUGGGGUUGCGGACAUAUCAUAACGGAGAGGUAUCGUAAUUGAAGAGGUUUGGAAAGACCCACCACAGAAGGUAAUAGUCCUGUAUGUUAAACGAGAAGACUUUAGAUAUGAUCCAGAGUACCACGGGACACGUGAAACCCUGUGGGAAGCAGGAGGGACCACCCUCCAAGGCUAAAUACUACCUAGUGACCGAUAGCGUAUAGUACCGUGAGGGAAAGGUGAAAAGAACCCCGGGAGGGGAGUGAAAUAGAACCUGAAACCCUGCACUUACAAGCUGUGGAAGCACAUUUCUUGUGUGACCGCGUACUUUUUGUAGAACGGGCCAACGAGUUACGUUAAGUAGCAAGGUUAAGCACUUAAGGUGUGGAGCCGUAGCGAAAGCGAGUUUUAACUGAGCGUUCAGUUACUUGACGUAGACCCGAAACCGGGCGACCUACCCAUGAGCAGGAUGAAGCGAAAGUAAAAUUUCGUGGAGGUCCGAACCCACGAGCGUUGAAAAGCUCGGGGAUGACUUGUGGGUAGCGGUGAAAUUCCAAUCGAGCCCGGAGAUAGCUGGUUCUCCCCGAAAUAGCUUUAGGGCUAGCCUCAAGGUGAGAGAUACGGAGGUAGAGCACUGAAUGUCCUAGGGGGUAUUGCACCUACCGAAGACUAUCAAACUCCGAAUGCCGUCAUCUUAUACUUGGGAGUCAGACUGUGGGUGAUAAGAUUCAUAGUCGAAAGGGCAACAGCCCAGAUCGUCAGCUAAGGUCCCUAAAUGUAAGUUAAGUGGUAAAGGAUGUGGGAUUGCACAGACAACCAGGAUGUUGGCUUAGAAGCAGCCACUCAUUCAAAGAGUGCGUAAUAGCUCACUGGUCGAGUGAUCCUGCGCCGAAGAUUUCCGGGGCUAAAACUUACUACCGAAGCUACGGCAUCAGUAAUGAUGGGUAGGGGAGCUUCCCAUACGGGUUGAAGCAUGACCGUAAGGACAUGUGGACAGUAUGGGAGUGAGAAUGUUGGCAUGAGUAGCGAGAUGUGGGUGAGAAUCCCACAGGCCGUAAACCCAAGGUUUCCAGGGGAAGGUUCGUCCGCCCUGGGUUAGUCGGGACCUAAGCUGAGGCCGAAAGGCGUAGGUGAUGGACAACAGGUUGAUAUUCCUGUAC
rnacentral:rRNA from 1 species